ACGUUCUUCUUUAUAACUGCGCAAUCCAAAACUCGGGUUUAAUUCCUUCGUUUUCUGCUGUUCGGAUACUAUCGUCAUGGGGAUUCUUGAAGUGCUGGUCACGGUUUUGUUGUUGUGGACUGGGGGUGAAGGGAUGGUUCCUAGCGAUAUGUGCAUAGAACCAGUUAUUCCUACGCCCGGAAAUUUUUAUGCCAUCAAAGUUAGUUCUCGUUUUUAUAGGAGAGCUCACCCAUUACAAGUUGAAGUUUACCAAACUAUAAGUGAAAAGAGACCUAUAAUAGCUGACGUAUUUCUACAUGUACCCGAAACGGAUAUUCAGUCACCUGGUAUGGCCCUGGAUGUUAAAACAAUCGGCUAUUGGUUGGGUAAACAACCAUCAGAAUAUACUGUGGUGUCAGAAACGAUAUCAUGUCCAUACAGUUUUUGGGGUAACGAUGCCAUAGUUGCUUUUAACGACCAUGAGUUGAAGUUUAACAUCACGGGUAACUGGUAUCCGCCUACUUCUGCAUACGACUUAAAACAAAGACGGCAUGUCAAAUUCGUAGCUUACGUGACACCUGAUCCAGAUAAAACAAGACGGAGAUGGUACAAAGCUGAAUCACCAAUAAUCAAAAACUUGGAUUACAUCGCAAUACAAUACCAUGAAAGACGUCAGCGACAGCAACUCGCUCGGUAUAACCAGCUCUAUAACAUUUUUCAAGACGGAAUUUGAUAUUCCUCCCCCCAAACAAAAACAAAGAAAGAAGCCCCAAAAGUCUUCGUUUUGUGGUAAUAAAUGUGCAAUAUAUCGCCCAGUCUAAAAUUACAUUGACAUUUUUUCCCUUGCAAUAUACCUCGUUCAAAAAGAACAGACUUUCUAGCUUUGUAGCAAUUAACCCAAAACGUUAUAUUUUGAAAUACACCUUAGGUUCCCAUUGGAGUAACUACGCAAUGAAAUCAAAGAGGCAUUAUGCAAGAGCUAAAUCUGUCCAUUGCAGGUCUUUUUUCGGGCUUCAAUUGUCAUAUAAAUUGUCAUUUAUAUAUUUAUUCACAUGAAAAGCCCACAAUCAACCCCGGAGACCAUCGGAUGUCUUAAAUAUUGAGCGGAUUAGACAAUGCCCGCCAUAUAUACGUUAACUGAUAAUAUGGCGGCACUCGCGGUGACGGUUGAUUGAAAGACUGAAAAUUGGUACCUGACCUGAUAAUAAAGGAUAUGAAUCGGCAAUCGUCAGACACAAUUUAGGCCACUUCUUGUCAAUACUUCAAACAAUUUCAAUAAAUUCUUUAUUCAUUAUUUAUUUUUGAACUUUUAUAGCCGAACUUUUAUAACCUAAAUCUUACAUAAUGCCUCUUUAACAUUUAUGUUUGAUUAGACUGAAUAUCGCCAUGCUUGACUUUAUCCGUACAUCACCUUGCUUUACUUUGGUCGUGGACUAACCGUUAGCAAUAUAAAUAACAAAAGCGGGUGAAAUAAUAGGUUCUGAUAUUUAUAUUAUGUAAAGCUUUAUAGUAUGCUAAUUUAUUGUACAUGUUAUUAUAUGCUUGACUUUAUCCGUAGAUCAUUUUGCUGUACUAUGUUCGUGGAAUAAUCGUUGGCAAUAUAUAACAAAAGCUGAAGAAAUAGCUUCCGAUAUUUAUAUGUAAAGCUUUAUAGUAUGCUAAUAUAUUGUAUAUGAUAUUAUAUUAUUGUUUAUGAUCAUGAUUAAAAUAAAUGGAA